UAUCUCAUCUAAUAAAAAAACAAUCAUGGUUCUGUGAUUUAAAUAGGAAGUAAGCUCCUUAAGAGUAGAGAUUUUUGGGGCUCUCUUUUUGUACCUACCAUACUUAGCACAGAACCUAGCACAUAGGAAACAAUUACUGGUUGUUUACUGAUUGGUAUAAAUAGACAUAUAAAUUGAUUCUAGGCACAAUCACAUCUGGAUUCUCUUCUGGUUUCAGACUUUAAUCAGAUCUUCUCUGGAGAAAAAUCACUGACCUUUCAUCGUGACAGUAUCUACAGUGCAACCUUGCUGAUCUCAAGGUGGACUAGAAGUGAACACAAAUGGAAUUUCCUAUAUAAGAUAUCGUCACUAUUAAUGAGGCAUAAUUUCAAGAGUGCUACUAUCUUCAAAUCUCUACAUUUUAAACUGCUUUUUAAAUUCCUCUGAUUAGGAAAAAGA